rnacentral:rRNA from 1 species
UGCGUAGGCGGGUCUUUAAGUCAGGGGUGAAAUCCUGGAGCUCAACUCCAGAACUGCCUUUGAUACUGAGGAUCUUGAGUUCGGGAGAGGUGAGUGGAACUGCGAGUGUAGAGGUGAAAUUCGUAGAUAUUCGCAAGAACGCCAGUGGCGAAGGCGGCUCACUGGCCCGAUACUGACGCUGAGGUGCGAAAGCGUGGGAGCAAACA